rnacentral:rRNA from 1 species
UACGUAGGGUGCGAGCGUUAAUCGGAAUUACUGGGCGUAAAGCGUGCGCAGGCGGUUUUGUAAGCCAGAUGUGAAAGCCCCGGGCUCAACCUGGGAAUGGCAUUUGGGACUGCAAGGCUGGAGUUUGGCAGAGGAGACUGGAAUUCCUGGUGGUAGCAGUGAAAUGCGUAGAUAUCAGGAGGAAUACCCGUGGCGAAAGCGGCGCGCUGGACCACUACUGACGCUGAGGAACGAAAGCUAGGGGAGCAAACAGG